GACAGAUUAUAGUGGUAUCAGAGCCUAGGGUUGAGUCUUAGUAGACCUAGCAAACCUUAGGCUGCUUGGACUAUAAGAAUAGGCUCGUGAGAGACGAGGUCUAGUUGAGGUUGUUGUUAGCGAAAGUAUUUCGAUUGGGUAAAUUAUAAACUCCGAAUGGUAGGAGUUUGAUCGGAAUGUGCAAUUACUAAUUUUGCAGAGGGCCACGUUGGCG
rnacentral:lncRNA from 1 species